AAUCGGUAUAUUUACUGAUUGUGUAUUGGUGAAUUGGUGCUGGCUCUCAGUUCCCGCCUCGCGGCGGGGGGGGCCUGACCACCCCUGCGAUGGGUGUCCUAAGAGCCAGGGGGGGAAGAGGGGCUGGCUGUCAGUCCCCGCCUCCCGGGGGGUGCCUCCCGCCCCUACGAUGGUGGUUCCAAGAGUCUGGGGGGGAAGAGGGGCUGGCUUUCAGUACCCGCCUCGCGGGGGGUGCCUCCCCCAGGUGCGAUGGGGGUCCUAAGAGCCAGGGGGUGAAGAGGGGCUGGCUCUCUGUCCCCUCGUCGCGGGGGUUGCAUCCCCCCCCUGUGAUGGGGGUCCCAAGAGCCAGGGGGGGAAGAAGGGCUGGCUCUCAGUCCCCGCCUCACUAGCAGGGGAGUUGCUGCCAAGGCCCUCAAACAUGGGGGCCAUCCUUUAGAAACCCUGUCUAGUUGUUUAGAGACAUAGGCCACCGACCUCAUCCAGGGCCCCACAGUUUGGGUUAAAAGUCCACCUGCCAUCUUUUCUCUCUCUGACACAUACAAUGGAAAAGGCUUUGUCAGAUCGGGUAACCCCAGGGCUGAAGCUGCCAGAAGUUUUUCCUUUAACUCAUGAAAGACUUGCUGUUGUUAGGAUCCCCCUUCCAAAGGUUCCCGGUCCCCGACCCCUUUGUGACCUCAUACAAAGUCUUGGCUUAUACUGCAAAGUUUGGGAUCCACAGUCUACAAAACCCCACAGCUCCUGAGAAUUCUCUCGCCUGCCUUCGGCCCUUAGGCUCUGGUAGAUUGCAAAUAACAUGCUUUCUUUCUGUUCCCGGGUGGCUUCGGACCCCUGUCGGAUCGGAAAUCCCAAGUAAGGUACCUGCCCUGGGCAGAUUUGAGCUUUCUUCUUGGACACCUAAUACCCACAGUCCUCCAGGCUGAGGUAGAUUGCAAAUGACCUGCUUUCUUUCUGUUCCUGGGUGCCUUCGGACCCCUGUCGGAUAGUAAAUCCCAAGUAAGGUACCUGCCGUCAGCAGAUUUGAGCUUUCUUCUUGGACACCUAAUACCCACAGUCCUCCAGGUGGGUCCUAAAGUUCAUAGGAUCCGCGAUGGGGGUCCCAAGCCAGGGAGGGACGAGGGGCUGGCUCUCAGUCCCCGCCUCGCGGGGGGGUGCCUCCCCCCCCCCUGCGAUGGGGGUCCUAAGAGCCAGGGGGGAAGAGGGGAUGGCUGUCAGUCCCUCCCUCGUGGGUGGUACCUCCGCCUUCUGCGAUGGUGGUCCUAAGAGCCAGGGGGAGACGAGGGGCUGGCUCUCAGUCCCCGCUUCGCGAGGGGUGCCUCCCCCCCCCGCGAUGGGGGUCCUAAGAGUCUGGGGGGAAAGAGGGGCUGGCUCUCAAUCCCCGCCUCGCGGGGGUGCCUCCCCCAGGUGCUAUGUGGGUCCUAAGAGCCAGGGGUGAAGAGGGGCUAGCUCUCUGUCCCCUCGUCACGGGGGUUGCAUCACCCACCCUGCGAUGGAGGUUCCAAGAGCCAAGGGGGUAAGAGGGGCUGGCUCUCAGUCCCUGCCUCGCGGGGGUUCCUCCCCCCCUGCGAUGGGGGUCCCAAGAGCCAGGGGGGGAAGAGGGGCUGGCUCUCAGUCCCCGCCUCGCGGAGGGUGCCUCCCCCACCACUGCGAUGGGGGUCCCAAGAGCCAGGGGGGGAAGAGGGUCUGGCUCUCCACCACCACAAAAUGGGGGGCCUUUAUGUUCAGGUUUUGCCCAAGAGUCAGCUUAUUUGCUUCUUGUACUAGCAGGGCAGUUGCUGCCAAGGCCCUCAAACAGGGUGCCAUCCUUUAGAAACCCUGUCUAGUUGUUCAGAGACGUAGGCCACCGGCCUCAUCCAGGGCCCCACAGUUUGGGUUAAAAGUCCACCUGCCAUCUUUUCUCUCUCUGACGCAUACAAUGGAAAAGGCUUUGUCAGAUCGGAUAGCCCCAGGGCUGAAGCUGCCAGAAGUUUUUCCUUUAACUCAUGAAAGACUUGCUGUUGUUGGGAUCCCCCUUCCAAAGGUUCCCAGUCCCCGCCCCCUUUGUGACAUCAUACAAAGUCUUGGCUUAUACUGCAAAGUUUGGGAUCCACAGUCUACAAAACCCCACAGCUCCUGAGAAUUCUCUUGCCUGCCUUCGGCUCUUAGGCUAUAGUAGAUUCCAAAUAACCUGCUUUCUUUCUGUUCCCGGGUGGCUUCGGACCCCUGUCGGAUCGGAAAUCCCAAGUAAGGUACCUGCCGUCGGCAGAUUUGAGCUUUCUCCUUGGACACCUAAUACCCACAGUCCUCCAGGCUCCAGUAGAUUGCAAAUGACCUGCUUACUUUCUGUUCCCGGGCUGCGUUCUGACACCUGUCGGAUAGUAAAUCCCAAGUAAGGUACCAGCCGUCGGCAGAUUUGAGCUUUCUUCUUGGACACCUAUACCCACAGUCCUCCAGUGUUUUAGACGCCCAGCUGCACAACUUGAUUGCCUUACAAAUGACCUGCUUCCAGGAUGCGGAAAUUCCUAAUUUCUUCUGUGACCCUUCUCAACUCCCCCAUCUUGCAUGUUGUGACACCUUCACCAAUAACAUAAUCAUGUAUUUCCCUGCUGUCAUAUUUGGUUUUCUUCCCAUCUCUGGGACCCUUUUCUCUUACUAUAAAAUUGUUUCCUCC